AGAGUUUGAUCAUGGCUCAGGAUGAACGCUGGCGGCGUGCCUAAUACAUGCAAGUCGAGCGCGAAGAUCAGGAGCUUGCUCCUGAGAUUUGGGCGGCGGACGGGUGAGUAACACGUAGGCAACCUACCCUUGAGAUUGGGAUAACUACCGGAAACGGUAGCUAAUACCGGAUACGACCUUUCCACAUAAGUGGAACUGUUAAAAGGCGGAUUUAUCUGCCGCUCAUGGAUGGGCCUGCGGUGCAUUAGCUAGUUGGUGAGAUAGUAGCUCACCCAGGCGACGAUGCAUAGCCGACCUGAGAGGGUGAUCGGCCACACUGGGACUGAGACACGGCCCAGACUCCUACGGGAGGCAGCAGUAGGGAAUCUUCCGCAAUGGACGAAAGUCUGACGGAGCAACGCCGCGUGAGUGAUGAGGGGUUUCGGCUCGUAAAACUCUGUUGUUAAGGAAGAACACUUGAGGUAGUAACUGGCCUUGAGAUGACGGUACUUAACCAGAAAGCCACGGCUAACUACGUGCCAGCAGCCGCGGUAAUACGUAGGUGGCAAGCGUUAUCCGGAAUUAUUGGGCGUAAAGCGCGCGUAGGCGGUAAAAUAAGUCUGAUGUGAAAGCCCCCGGCUCAACCGGGGAGGGUCAUUGGAAACUGUUUUACUUGAGUACAGAAGAGGAGAGUGGAAUUCCAUGUGUAGCGGUGAAAUGCGCAGAGAUAUGGAGGAACACCAGUGGCGAAGGCGGCUCUCUGGUCUGUUACUGACGCUGAGGUGCGAAAGCGUGGGGAUCAAA
rnacentral:rRNA from 1 species